CCAACUGCUGUAGAAUCUUUGAAUGAGGAAACACCCUGGAUGCCAAGAAGCCACCUCGAUUAUGACGGUGUAUCACCGAGGGUUUCAAAUACACCUGUUCCCCUCUAUGUCCAUCAAGAACCAAUAAGUCAACCCUAGGAUGCAUGGAACAAUCUUCAAGAAGGCGACUGCCACAUCGUCAUCGGCAUUGUUGUACUACAAGAGAGAAAGGGAGAGGCAGACACAAGAUAUGCAUAAACCAGAGGGGAUUAACUAGAGCACUGAUAUUGAGAAGACCAAAAUGAUAAACUUGAAGAAUCAGCAGACGCAGGCCUUACUAGAUGCCCUUGGACAGCUCGUCCAGGGUCAACGUGCAAUGCAAAACGAUGCAGCGGCCGCCGCUCCACCACUAACGCAGCCACAACACGCAGUUGCACUGACAUUCUGACCUUUUGAUGCUGCACUGGAAAGCUGGACAGAGUGGUCACGCCAAUUUGGAUUUCAUCUCGCCACCUACAGAAUUCAAGAUAACAUGGCAUUAUAAUCAACGAUGCAAUACAAACAGCUAAGCUGUGGAAAUGGACUUGCUCCAUUACAAGCAGAAAUAAUACCUAUUAAGGGAGGUCAUCUAAGUGCAGAUGGACAAUGUGGGACAUUACUGUGAGUAGUGAGUAAAAUGGUGAACAAAAGAAGGUAAAACAAACCAAUAGCCGAAAGUUACAACCUUUCAACGGUUUAAUGUGAAGUGCUACCACAUUAUGGACUCAUCUAAGUGAAAAUUGUAAAUCUUCUUUUGUAUUUCAUUUACCUUAAAAUUAACAGUUUUAUGUUUUCCUUCACUUAGUGUAACACAAUUUCAGUGGUAAACCUAAUGUCAUCCCCACUGCUAUGGGCGGGAAGAUAGCAAAAUUCAAAGAAAAGAGUCCUAUUAAAAAUUUUAAUUUAUUUAAAAUCAUAUUCUUGGCAGUUCCAUUUUUCUGGUGUCAGAAUUUGUAAUGGAACUGACAAAUAGACUUCAUUUUGUUACAUUAUACACUAGUUAAAGUUGUGUUAAAAAGCAUUUGCUUAAUAUGAUAUUAGGAUAGGUGUUGAGAUCAAUAAUCAAUAUUGAAAUUAUAUGUUCUCUGUAGCUACGACCAUGAUCUUUGGUGUGCAGCGUGACUUUGGCCACUUGACUUUUAGCUGCGGUCGAGUGUAGUCAUUAUCAAGUUCUGGUAAUAAAUAUGUGUUUUUUUAA